AGCAGAAAGAAAGAAAGAAAGAGCAGAAUGUUUUAAACUCCAUAUUUUCUGUAUAAUUUGCUGGUUAUAAGCAGAUCUAUGCACGAGACUCCAUUAUACCACACUGAUAGCUUCUCAAAGAUUAUAAAUAUGAUACAUGUAAGCAGGCAUGCACAGUUACUUGUCAUCACAAGGAUCAGAUUUCAAGUACCAGAGUAGUCCUAACUCCUAAAUUUUCCCAAUUUGUCAAAAGUACAUGUA